ACCGUAUCGAUUUCAGAAAUCAAAACAUUCAAUAUUAUUUCAUUGUCCAGUUAAGUCGAAUGAAGAAAACUUCGAUCAUUGCAGUAAUGUCGUUCGACUCGUCAAAUGUGAAAGUUAUUUCUCAAGAGAAUAAAAGAAUAUUUGUACAAGUGAAGAAAGGGAAGGAUUUUCGUGAAAACUGUGGGAAACAAGUGACGUGGCAAUGGAUGAAGAUAUGAAAAAGAUAUUUAUUUCAACUAUCCUGAACAACAAUUAGAAAUAUGGCGAUAGUACAAGUGGCCUGUCGUUCGUUGAACUAUCCCGAGAGUGCUUAAGCAAAUACGAACACAUGUAUUGCGGAGAGAUCAUGCCAACCGAUGUCGAGGCAAUUCAUCUUCUGAAUUCGAUGACCAAUGUUUUUUGUGACAACAAUGGCAUGUACUUUGUACGUGAUGCAUCGUAUGUGAUCCCAAGAUAUCGAUGAGCGAUCAUGCUACUGAUAAUUGAAUUGAACGAAAAUAAAAUCUCAAAUUAAUUGGCAAUGAUUGCACCGCCCAAGAUGUUCAUAUCUACCAUUCAAUUUAAAAUAAAAGCAUACAUUUUCAAAACCGAAAAAAAGGCUUUUCAUCCCGAUAUUAAAUGAAGUUUAUGAGUUUUUGAAUUGCUUUUCUUUCUAAAUGGUAAAUGGUUGUUUAGUCUACAGAACGCAAAGAAUGAAAUUGAAUGGAAUGAAAACAGAAAAGUUUGUUCUACUGUUUGCUGAUACAUCAAGGCUGAAUCACUGAACUAAAAAUCUCCAAUGCUAUUUUUUUCCACUGAAAUCACGAUCAUAAUGGACUUUUAUUCAUUUGAUACAACGCAAAUUCGAGGCAAUAUACUGCUGCCAUUACUUAAAACAAUUUCACUCCCUUUGGCUCUCUCUUUCUUCAUCGGCUAAUGUCGUCUAUUCAGCAUAAUUCAAUACCAACAUACAGAACAGGCUGUUCUGAACAACUCACAGACUCUGGUUGUACACAUAGAAAUCACAAACGGAAUUUUAUACUGGAGAAUCGAUUUGAUUACUUCAGGAUGUUUGAAACGCAGACACUCGCAAAAAGUGUAUAAUCAAAGAAAAAAACACUCUCUGAUGCACACACUGCAAUAAGAAACAAAUCCGAUGCAUAUAGUUUGCACAUUUCAUUUGAGUCGAACCAUUUUUUUCCAUUCUUGUGUUGUAGUUUAAACGGUUAAGUCAAGAUAUAUCUCAAGAGAAAGAAAAUAUUGUAUAUUAAUUGAAAAAAAGCUUCCUUAAAAAUAAAACACUCAAGUAUUUCUGAAAAUAUUGAAAAAAAAUGUUACCAAUAAUGGUAAAAAAGUAUCUCAUUACGACCAUCCUUCAAGGCAGCAGUCUAUCGAGUCAAUGCAGCAUGUCAUUCUCUGCUCUAUGCGAAGCAUUCGAAAAACGGGCACAGGAAAAGAUUAUGCCUACCGAUGCGCAGGCACGUCAACUUCUGGCAUCAAUGAACAACGUUCGUCGUGACCGAAACGGAAUGUACUCUACAUUUGGAGUCCUCGAGAGGACGGAAU